GGCCAAAAGGGGGAGCUCUUGGCCGCACUCCAUUUUGGAUGAGGAUGCCAGAGAGAGACAUCGUCUCUGGCCAUUCAUUCACAUAUUUCCCCCUUUUCAGCUGCUGUACUCGCUGUUCCUGAAAAGGGAAUUGGGCUUUUGGAUGACAAAACCGAUUACUGGAUGAUACAGAUGGCAAGCUCAGCUGAGAUGCCAACGGAAUCCUCCAAAAACGUCAAGAAGUUGCCUUCACUGGGAAUACUAAACCUCUAAAUGUUCAUGUUGUGCAUAUACGCUAUAAAUGCUUUACAUGUCAUUUAUUUUCCUGUUAAUGUCAUUGCAGAACUGUUUCACCCACUCAUUCCACUCCACGUGAUCCGUUAAAAGAUCCAAUACAGUACAUGGUCGGAUUAAGAACAAUACAGAGAAACUUCUGAGCUUGAACACACCUGACGUCGCAAACUUGGGAACAUUUCAGCAGCAAUUGAAGGAUGUGUCUUCUCAAAACAAUAUGUGUUCAAAAGAGUAAUCCAUUUGCAUCACAAGCAUGUCUCCUCCGAACAGAACUGGGCUCACAAGACCAAUUGGAGGGUAAGUCACCGUUGAUGUCUUUUCAUUCGCUGGGCCCAGACAAUGGAAUAAGCUGCAUUUAAAAUGAAUGAACUUUGGUCUGCUUGUGUGUUGU